rnacentral:snoRNA from 1 species
CCCCAAUGUUUUUUGUCAGGACUCCUUCUAUACCAUCACUGUGAAGGUCGUCUGUUACAACAUUGGGAGAAUAAAUAUACCAUUCUCGCCUGCCCCAGCCUCCAAAGCUGGUGGUAGACGGAGGCCGUUUUGGCUUCCGUCAUGAGAUGGCCUGCAGGUCAAAUGAGUUGAAGCCUACAUGGCCCUCUUUCUUGGGGUACACCAACUGCAGGCUUCUUAGUACUGACUCGCACAUUG